ACUCCCAGGUAAUCACUAUCCUACUAUGUGUCUCCAUGAAUUUGCCUAUUCUAGAUACUUCUUGUGCCUUUUUCCAUAAUUUUUUCUUAUAACCAGCCCUUCUCAUCCAAAGGCCACAAUGAAGUCGAAGAAACCUAUAGAUGACAGCUUUCACAAUCCUUCUCUUGCCUUUUCCUGUACUGACGUAUGAUAGAGAUCUGCCUGGCAGCUUCAAGACACUUGGAAGCAAGAGGGCCACUCUAUUAAGGAUCGCUGAAGUAUGCCCACAUGUCAGGUUUCUCUCAGAUGUGGUAUCAAAACAUCAUUAUGGGCCGGGCACGGUGGCUUACGCCUGUAAUCCCAGCACUUUGUAUCAAAACAUCAUUAUGGGCCGGGCACGGUGGCUUACGCCUGUAAUCCCAGCACUUUGGGAGGCUGAGGCAGGCAUAUGAAGAGGUCAAGAGAUCGAGAUCAUCCCGGCCAACAUGAAAUAACAAGAAAGUUAGAAAGUCUUCUGCCUCCCAUCAGAAAAUGAGCUCAAGUGUUGUGAGUAUCCGUUGAAAAUGCCAUCUGAUGCUAAUCAUCUCUGAGUGAACCCUACAUCUUACAGUAAAUUGCAUAUUGCAAUAAAAAGUGAUCUCUCAUGGUUCUUGAAUUAUUUUUCAUCAUGUUUAGUGCAAUACUGUAAAUCUUGAACAUCACCAUGGGACCCAUAUGAAAUGUCACUAGUGAUGCUGGAAGUGCUCCCAAGAAGCAGAGAAAAAUCAUUACAAAAAAAAGCUGACUUGCUUGAUAUGUACCGUAGAUUGAGGUCUGCAGCUGUGGUUGCCCACCAUUUCAAGAUAGAUGAAUCCAGCGUAAGGACCAUUGUGGUUGGGGGAGGACUUUGUGGAGCCAUCACUGCAGCUACGACAGCAGGCAUGAAAACGUUGAAAUUUCUGUAAAAUAUCUUUUUAUCUUAUAUAUAAAAUACAAUGUGAGUACAGAAUUGCUAUAAGAAAGGCAUACUCUAGUAAGACUUGAAGUCAUUAUAUGACAACUUAAAGCAA
rnacentral:antisense_RNA from 1 species